AUAUCAUGCAAUGCUACAAAGUUCAACCCUCUUCACCCAAUAAAUCUGCAAAAGAGCUUAUCAUGUUUGAGCAACAUUGCAAUAUUGAAAAUCUUGGUCGAGUUAACAAAGUUAAGGUCAAAAGGCGAAUCACAGUGGAGAGUUUGCAAUUAGAACCACUUUGUAAUCAGAGCAUGGAGAAGUUCUUCAAGUUCUCCACUAUGAAGUUGGACAGAAAUAUGAACCACAUUAUGAUUACUUCUGCUUAUCAUUUCUGCUCUUACAGAGGACACAAAAGCUCUCAAUCAGCUUA